rnacentral:rRNA from 1 species
AACGAACGCUGGCGGCAUGCCUAACACAUGCAAGUCGAACGAGACCUUCGGGUCUAGUGGCGCACGGGUGCGUAACGCGUGGGAACCUGCCCUUAGGUUCGGAAUAACUCCCCGAAAGGGGUGCUAAUACCGGAUAAUGUCUUCGGACCAAAGAUUUAUCGCCUUUGGAUGGGCCCGCGUUGGAUUAGCUAGUUGGUAGGGUAAAAGCCUCCCAAGGCGACGAUCCAUAGCUGGUCUGAGAGGAUGAUCAGCCACACUGGGACUGAGACACGGCCCAGACUCCUACGGGAGGCAGCAGUGGGGAAUAUUGGACAAUGGGCGAAAGCCUGAUCCAGCAAUGCCGCGUGAGUGAUGAAGGCCUUAGGGUUGUAAAGCUCUUUUACCCGGGAUGAUAAUGACAGUACCGGGAGAAUAAGCGCCGGCUAACUCCGUG